GACGAACGCUGGCGGCGUGCUUAACACAUGCAAGUCGAACGGAAAGGCCCGGCUUUUGUGGGUUGUUCAAGUGGCAAACGGGUGGUUAACACGGGAGUAACCUGCCUUGGACUUGGGGUUAACUCCGGGAAACGGGGGCUAUUACCGGAUAGAAGUCCCGGUUGCAUGGGGGGGGUUGGAAAGUUUCGGCGGUUGGGGAUGGACUCGCGGCUUAUCAGCUUGUUGGUGGGGUAGUGGCUUACCAAGGCUUUGACGGGUAGCCGGCCUGAGAGGGUGACCGGCCACAUUGGGACUGAGAUACGGCCCAGACUCCUACGGGAGGCAGCAGUGGGGAAUAUUGCACAAUGGGCGGAAGCCUGAUGCAGCAACGCCGCGUGCGGGAUGACGGCCUUCGGGUUGUAAACCGCUUUCGCCUGUGACGAAGCGUGAGUGACGGUAAUGGGUAAAGAAGCACCGGCUAACUACGUG
rnacentral:rRNA from 1 species